rnacentral:miRNA from 1 species
UCCUCCUCCUCUUCCUCUUCAUCUUCCUCUGCAUCCUCUCCCUCCUCCCCUUCAUCGUCAUCCGAAGAGGAGUCCUGUAAGAAUGACAUGUGAUAGAGGCAGUGUGCUUAGCAUCCAUUGAAUUCGAAGUGAUCCAACACCCCUGCACCUGACUUAUGUAGUAAUGGACAGUCAUGACACUUUCUUCAGUAAUGUUUGUCGUAUACAGUAGAGAAAGUGU